rnacentral:lncRNA from 1 species
GAGAAGAGAUCAACGGCUCAGAUGAGAGAUCGACGGAGAAGAAGAUGAUCAGCAGAACAGAGAGCAGGACUCUGUUCGAGUUCAAGAGCGUGCCUUUGUACGGUGUGACUUCCAUCUGUGGAAGAAGACCGGAGAUGGAAGAUGCUCUCUCCGCGAUACCCAGAUUCCUUCAAUCUCCGACCAAUUCGUUGAUAGAUGGUCGUUUCAAUCCUCAGUCCGCCGCUCACUUCUUCGGCGUCUACGACGGCCACGGCGGUUCUCAGGUAACAAAUCAAUCUCCUCUGUAUAUUGCAAAAGUGUAUGACUUUGAGGCUUUGAUUGAGAUCUUGAGUUGUGUAGGUAGCGAACUAUUGCAGAGAGAGGAUGCACUUGGCUUUAGCGGAGGAGAUAGAGAAGGAGAAACCGAUGCUCUACGACGGUGACACGUGGCAGGAGAAGUGGAAGAGAGCUUUGUUCAACUCGUUCCUCCGCGUUGACUCGGAGAUCGAGUCGGUGGCCCCGGAGACUGUCGGGUCAACGUCGGUCGUCGCCGUCGUGUUCCCGACUCAUAUCUUCGUCGCGAACUGCGGCGACUCAAGAGCCGUUCUUUGCCGCGGCAAGACUGCGUUACCUUUAUCUACCGAUCACAAAGUAAGCAUAUACAGACUCAUACAUAUGUAUUGGUUGGUUCUUUAGUUUCAUAGGUUUUUGAUUCUUGAUUUGAAUCCAUUUUGUAAUGUAUGUGUGUAGCCUGAUAGAGAAGAUGAGGCGGCGAGGAUUGAAGCCGCCGGAGGGAAAGUGAUCCGGUGGAACGGAGCUCGUGUGUUCGGUGUUCUCGCCAUGUCAAGAUCCAUUGGUAAGCUUUCUUCUAUAAAUAGAAACUUUCUUUUGUUCUUACAGUCAUGUAUUGUGUGACAGGCGAUAGAUACUUAAAACCGUCGAUCAUUCCUGAUCCGGAAGUGACUGCUGUGAGGAGAGUCAAAGAAGAUGACUGUCUGAUACUAGCGAGUGACGGUGUUUGGGAUGUAAUGACGGAUGAGGAAGCGUGUGAGAUGGCGCGGAAGCGUAUUCUCUUGUGGCACAAGAAGAACAUGGGGGCUGGAGAUGCGUCGUUGCUCACGGAGGAGAGAAGAGGUGAAGGAGAAGAUCCGGCGGCGAAGUCUGCGGCUGAGUACUUGUCAAAGCUGGCUUUACAGAGAGGAAGCAAAGACAAUAUAACUGUGGUGGUGGUUGAUCUGAAGCCUCAUAGGAAACUCAAGAUCAAAAAGCCUUGAGCUGAAACAGAGGGUCCUUUUUCUAUCUUUUAUCAAUGAAUAUAGGUCUCUCAAAGAAACAAAUUAUAAUUUUUAAACUGACAUGUUACAAUCAUGUCAGACAAUGUAGCUUAAAAUGUUAAGCUCAUUGUCUUUACGUCUGAAAAGCCCCUUGUAUUUUUCCUCCCGGGCUAAUUGUAAUAUGGUUACAAUAUACAUUAAUAUAUAGACAUCUUAGUAUCAUCCGUUUAUAUCCAAAUGAUUUUCAAUAUUUUUGCAUAUGAAAAUGGAAAGAUAUUUUACUCUCUAUCCAAAGAACUCGCUCAAAAGUCAUAUAUUAUUAGAGAACAUCUCUGCUAGUGGAUAGAAAAUAUAACUUGGUGGUAAAAGGGGUGUUCAAACUUGGUUCUAGGCUUCUAGCUGAUAGAAAGUGGGGGAAUCAAAGAUCCUGCGUUGGUGAAGUAAGACGAGAGAUUCGCAUCCGAAUCUUCAAACAUGUUUACGAACUUGUGUUCCUAAAUCACCAGAAAUCACAAAAAUGACGAAGUUAUUCACAUGAUGAAAGAUAUACAUGAGAGAGACUCUUGUAUAUGAUUACGCGCCAGAAGUUCGUGUUUAAUGAUCAUAUUAGUCUAUGAUUUGUGAAUAACUUCGUGCUCAGUGAGUGUUUAAUGAUCAUACUAGUCUAUGAUCAUACUAGUCUUUAUGACUCAUGUUCUUGGAGGAAUGGUCUUCUGGUUGUUAAAUCGUUUAUUUUUAAUAAUCAAUUUGCAUUGCUUGACAGGUUGUGUGAUAUUAAUUAAGCAAACAAACAAGCUACUAUAUAUACAUUUAAAUUGUCAUGAUAAUUAGAUAAACACCAAAUUGAAGAAAUCAACAAAAGUUAAACGUGAAGUGUUGGUAAGUGAUAUCGAGUUGGACAUACUUUAAUAUUUGUUGUAUCUAUUACGUAAUUCUGUUUAUUUAAAAAGUUGUAUAUAUAUUACUAAAAAUACUCGUAAACUAACAUAUGGAAAUAAACUUUCUUUUUUGGGUUUUAAAAUAAACUUGAUAUUUGUUGAAGACGUUUUCAAUUUGAGAGAAGAAACACGAUUAGUAGCUAAAACUGCAAUAUUAGCGGAGGAGAUAGAGAAGGAGAAACCGAUGCUCUACGACGGUGACACGUGGCAGGAGAAGUGGAAGAGAGCUUUGUUCAACUCGUUCCUCCGCGUUGACUCGGAGAUCGAGUCGGUGGCCCCGGAGACUGUCGGGUCAACGUCGGUCGUCGCCGUCGUGUUCCCGACUCAUAUCUUCGUCGCGAACUGCGGCGACUCAAGAGCCGUUCUUUGCCGCGGCAAGACUGCGUUACCUUUAUCUACCGAUCACAAAGUAAGCAUAUACAGACUCAUACAUAUGUAUUGGUUGGUUCUUUAGUUUCAUAGGUUUUUGAUUCUUGAUUUGAAUCCAUUUUGUAAUGUAUGUGUGUAGCCUGAUAGAGAAGAUGAGGCGGCGAGGAUUGAAGCCGCCGGAGGGAAAGUGAUCCGGUGGAACGGAGCUCGUGUGUUCGGUGUUCUCGCCAUGUCAAGAUCCAUUGGUAAGCUUUCUUCUAUAAAUAGAAACUUUCUUUUGUUCUUACAGUCAUGUAUUGUGUGACAGGCGAUAGAUACUUAAAACCGUCGAUCAUUCCUGAUCCGGAAGUGACUGCUGUGAGGAGAGUCAAAGAAGAUGACUGUCUGAUACUAGCGAGUGACGGUGUUUGGGAUGUAAUGACGGAUGAGGAAGCGUGUGAGAUGGCGCGGAAGCGUAUUCUCUUGUGGCACAAGAAGAACAUGGGGGCUGGAGAUGCGUCGUUGCUCACGGAGGAGAGAAGAGGUGAAGGAGAAGAUCCGGCGGCGAAGUCUGCGGCUGAGUACUUGUCAAAGCUGGCUUUACAGAGAGGAAGCAAAGACAAUAUAACUGUGGUGGUGGUUGAUCUGAAGCCUCAUAGGAAACUCAAGAUCAAAAAGCCUUGAGCUGAAACAGAGGGUCCUUUUUCUAUCUUUUAUCAAUGAAUAUAGGUCUCUCAAAGAAACAAAUUAUAAUUUUUAAACUGACAUGUUACAAUCAUGUCAGACAAUGUAGCUUAAAAUGUUAAGCUCAUUGUCUUUACGUCUGAAAAGCCCCUUGUAUUUUUCCUCCCGGGCUAAUUGUAAUAUGGUUACAAUAUACAUUAAUAUAUAGACAUCUUAGUAUCAUCCGUUUAUAUCCAAAUGAUUUUCAAUAUUUUUGCAUAUGAAAAUGGAAAGAUAUUUUACUCUCUAUCCAAAGAACUCGCUCAAAAGUCAUAUAUUAUUAGAGAACAUCUCUGCUAGUGGAUAGAAAAUAUAACUUGGUGGUAAAAGGGGUGUUCAAACUUGGUUCUAGGCUUCUAGCUGAUAGAAAGUGGGGGAAUCAAAGAUCCUGCGUUGGUGAAGUAAGACGAGAGAUUCGCAUCCGAAUCUUCAAACAUGUUUACGAACUUGUGUUCCUAAAUCACCAGAAAUCACAAAAAUGACGAAGUUAUUCACAUGAUGAAAGAUAUACAUGAGAGAGACUCUUGUAUAUGAUUACGCGCCAGAAGUUCGUGUUUAAUGAUCAUAUUAGUCUAUGAUUUGUGAAUAACUUCGUGCUCAGUGAGUGUUUAAUGAUCAUACUAGUCUAUGAUCAUACUAGUCUUUAUGACUCAUGUUCUUGGAGGAAUGGUCUUCUGGUUGUUAAAUCGUUUAUUUUUAAUAAUCAAUUUGCAUUGCUUGACAGGUUGUGUGAUAUUAAUUAAGCAAACAAACAAGCUACUAUAUAUACAUUUAAAUUGUCAUGAUAAUUAGAUAAACACCAAAUUGAAGAAAUCAACAAAAGUUAAACGUGAAGUGUUGGUAAGUGAUAUCGAGUUGGACAUACUUUAAUAUUUGUUGUAUCUAUUACGUAAUUCUGUUUAUUUAAAAAGUUGUAUAUAUAUUACUAAAAAUACUCGUAAACUAACAUAUGGAAAUAAACUUUCUUUUUUGGGUUUUAAAAUAAACUUGAUAUUUGUUGAAGACGUUUUCAAUUUGAGAGAAGAAACACGAUUAGUAGCUAAAACUGCAAUAUAUGAUGAGAUGGUGAAUACAUACCUAAACCAACAACUAAAAAAAUAUGAUUAAAGAUAAUCAAGAAUAAAUAUGCUUAUGGAGCUAAUUAACGCUUAGAAUAAGAGUGUGUAAAAUAAGAAAAGAGAUUUAACUUUGGGGUUGGGGCAAAAGAAAAUUAAAAAGUCUCUCCUUUGAGUCUGACCUCAGACUUGGCUUCUUCUGCUUCUUCUACUCUUUCCGCAUUUAACGCUUACGAAGUUGAAGCAGCAGCAGCCGAAGAAGAAGAAGAAGGAAGACGACUCUCUCCUUUCUCUUAGGUAGCUCGAAUUUCGAUCAUCUCCCCCAUCUUCCCUUUGCAAUCAGUCUCCUCUCGAAUUGAGCUGGUUUUCAUGGUGUUUGAUUGAUUGAUUGAUCGAUCGAUCUGUGUGUGUGUUCGAGCCUUAGUUCGAUUGAAAUCUAUCUUCAGGGGUGUAAAAUUCAUAUUGUUACUGUUUUUUUUUAUGUUGAAGGCUAAAUUUGAAGCAAGAGCUUGACGUUCACCGAGGCUCUUUUUACUGAAGAACAUAUGGCAGAAAGUAAUCAUCUUCUUCUUCUUCUUCCCCUUUAUGGUCAGAUUAGUCAUCUAAAGCUAGACGCUUUUGGGUGUUCUUGUUAGUAGAGUAGAGAGGAAUCAUAGAUUUAUCUCUAAAUCGUGAGAGCAAAGUAGUUUAUUAGCUGUAAUUGAUUGCAUAUAUGAUUUCUGAGAACACGAACAUGACCUUGAGUCUUGAGAUGGGACAGCGUUGACUCUAUCAAAAGCUUUUAGAACGAAACAACAAGUUAAGAUUUCUUUAGGGUAGUUAUGACUCUGUCUCAAAUAUUUGAAAAGAUUAAACCAGUAGAAAUUGGUUAACCGAGUAUUGAUACUGGUUUGUGUUGGUUAAGCUCUUUGUAAGAUCGUUUGACUCAUGCUUUCAAGUGGGGAGUACCUUGAAGGUUGAUGAGUUUUUCAUCAGUUUGGAUUUAAUAUAUUCUAUUGAUUUUUAUAUUUUGUAGAUGUAAAAGAGCGUGGGGAUGGAAGUGCAGAUCUGGUGAAAUCCAUGGGAGAUAAGCAUGCUAGUGUUAUCAGACCAGCUGCUAGAUAUUACUCUGCUAUUAAAGGUAUCAUCACCAUUCACAACGAGCUCUUUCUCAUUGCAUUAAGAAACUCUUCCAUUGAUUCUUUGUGAGCUAAUACAUUGGGGUUGUGUGAUAGAUGCUAUGGUUUGUGGGAAAGGAAGAUAUACGCUUGUAAAAGACGUGGAUGAUGUCGAAAAUGGAGCGUAUGAUAAACCUCUCCCAUGCUUUGGUUGCGGAAUAGGAUGGUUCUCGUGAGUAGAAUCUUUUGUUUUGUUUUUGGUGUUAAACUGUUAAGUCUCCAGUUCUGUUUACCUGAUGAUCUCUCUCUCUUUACAGCUUCCUCCUGGGAUUUGUGUUCCCUCUCUUGUGGUAUUAUGCGACAUUUCUCUAUUUCGGGAACUACUACCGCAAGGAUCCUAGAGAAAGAGCCGGUCUUGCUGCUUCCGCAAUCACUGUAAUGACUCUCUCCUUCUCUCUCUCUCACCCCCUCUCCUCUUUGACUAUUUGAGCUUCCAUCGAAAUGAUGAUGAGAUCUCGUGAUGUUGCAGGCGAUGGGAUUCUCCCUCUUGCUACUGGUGAUUGCUGUUUUCAGGUGGUUUUAGUGGCGCUUCUUCUUACGUAUACACACCAUACUCUUGAGCUAUAUAUAUAUAUAUGUACAAUCUUGGUCCCUUCCUUGUCAAAGGAUUAUAGAGGAGGGACUUAGAUAUAUGGCUGUACAUUCAAUAUAAACCCAAAGUGCAGAUACUAUACCUUAUAUUUACUCAAAUCUCUGUAUCAUCUUCUUCUCAUUAUCUACGUUUGUGUGUACAAAGGAACAGAAUAAAAAUAAACCGAAUAAAUAGUUGUUUCUUUCUUGAGCUAAUGAAUGUUUUUUCUUUUUUUUUUUUUUGUUGGCUUUGCACCGGUUAAGUAAUAAACCACAAUAUGUGAAUUGGUAGAACAAACCGAGUUGAAAUUGGAAUUACAGUAAUGAUUUUAUAGCAAACCAAUUAAAAAGGGGAAGUUGCCCUUCACGCGCGAGUUCGCGCGUGAUUAAAAAAACAAAGCUUCGUUUAUUAGUUUUUAGUUUUACCAGUUCAAGUGUACAUACAGUCGCGCAGUCGCGGUUGUUCAAAGAAGAGACAAAAAAGAUGAACAAAAGAUUUGGGGGGAAGAAGCCGACGGGAACUCCGUCUUUAGCGUUGUCAACCGUCGUCGUUGUAGCCUCAUUGCUCGCCGGAGCCUCCGUCGUACACAAUUUAUACAAGCCAGAUCUCGUAAGUUAUAUUCUCCUUCAAUGCGUGUAAGGUGUUCGAUGUAAUGUCGAGAUGAUCUGAUAAUCAUUUCUCUUUCUUAUUUCAAGACAUUACCUCAGAUGGGAAGUGAUGAAGUAGACAAGAAGGAAGAAUCUCGAAACAAAGAUUAAAAUCCUUUUUUUUUUCAGUCGUUUCUUGUCUUUUUAUUUCACAAUCUCCUCUGGGUUCGGAGUUUUAUGCCCUUAAGACUUUUUUCUGUUAUGUAAUGAAUAAGUCCCCUCACUGGUCAAAGAAUAUUUUAAGAGGUUGUAAUGAGUUACCCACAAUACAGGAAACCCUGAUUCAAAUUCAAUACAUACAUAUUUGUUUUCUUUUGCUGUGUGGUGAUUUUAUCCCAGCGAAAAUAACGGUUUCAUGUGCUAGUUAUAUUUUUCUUUUGGGGAGAGUCAUGGGUUUCUUGUCUGCAUAGCUUCUCACAAAGUUGUUCUCUUUAAAAACCAAUAAAAAGGAGAGAGAGAGAGAGAGAGAGAAAACAAAGCUUGAGGUUCCAUCAAUGGAGGAAGUAUCUCCGGCGGUUCCUAUGCCUUUCAUGCCUUUCCCCGAAACCCAGAUGGAACUCGCAGGGCUCAUGUUGGGUAAAGGUUAUCACAACGGCCAAUACUCAACUCAAGAUUCCGACAACGGAGAUUCUAGACAGGAGACUUCACGCUCUGUUUCUGAAUCUAGGAGAGUUUUGUCCUCUCGGAUUAAUUCUCCCAACUUCAACAUGAAGAAUCACUCAUCAUCCGCUGAUAUCUCCGCCGCCGGAGAAGAGAUCAACGGCUCAGAUGAGAGAUCGACGGAGAAGAAGAUGAUCAGCAGAACAGAGAGCAGGACUCUGUUCGAUUUCAAGAGCGUGCCUUUGUACGGUGUGACUUCCAUCUGUGGAAGAAGACCGGAGAUGGAAGAUGCUGUCUCCGCGAUACCAAGAUUCCUUCAGUCUCCGACCAAUUCGUUGAUAGAUGGUCGUUUCAAUCCUCAGUCCGC